rnacentral:rRNA from 1 species
GACGAACGCUGGCGGCGUGCUUAACACAUGCAAGUCGAACGGAAAGGCCCUGCUUUUGUGGGGUGCUCGAGUGGCGAACGGGUGAGUAACACGUGAGUAACCUGCCCUUGACUUUGGGAUAACUUCAGGAAACUGGGGCUAAUACCGGAUAGGAGCUCCUGCUGCAUGGUGGGGGUUGGAAAGUUUCGGCGGUUGGGGAUGGACUCGCGGCUUAUCAGCUUGUUGGUGGGGUAGUGGCUUACCAAGGCUUUGACGGGUAGCCGGCCUGAGAGGGUGACCGGCACAAUGGGGACGGGGAUCCGGCCAAGACCCCUCCGGGGGGAGGCAGUGGGAAAUAUGGCAAAAGGGCCGAAGGCCGAAUGAAGAACCCCGGCGGGGGGAAUGCCGCCUUUGGGGUGGAAACCGGUUUUCCCUUGUGACGAGGGGUGGGGGCGGGAAUGGGGAAAGAAGCACCGGCUAACUACGU